rnacentral:rRNA from 1 species
GAUUACUACGGAUUCCAGCUUCAUGUGGGCGAGUUGCAGCCCACAAUCCGAACUAAGGGUGGGUUUAGGAGAUUGCCUUCACCUUUCGGUGUCAUACCCAUUGUCCCACCCAUUGUAGCCCGCGUGUAGCCCGGAUAAUUCGGGGCAUGCUGACCUACCGUUGCCCAUUCCUUCCUCCUCUUUAGCAGAGGCGGUCCCAACAGUGUCCCCUCCAUCCCGGAGGACGAGCUGGCAACUGUUGGCGUGGGUCUCGCUCGUUGCCUGACUUAACAGGAUGCUUCACAGCACGAACUGACGACGGCCAUGCACCUCCUCUCAGCUAGUCAUGCAGAGUCUUCAGCCCGGCAAUCAUUCCGCUGUCUUAUCCGGUGAGAUU